rnacentral:rRNA from 1 species
UAAUACGGAGGUGGCAAGCGUUGCUCGGAAUCACUGGGCGUAAAGGGCGCGUAGGCGGGGAGGUAAGUCGGGUGUGAAAUCCCUCGGCCCAACCGAGGAACUGCGCCCGAGACUGCUUCUCUUGAGUCCCGGAGAGGAAGAUGGAAUUCCCGGUGUAGCGGUGAAAUGUGUAGAGAUCGGGAGGAACACCGGUGGCGAAGGCGGUCUUCUGGACGGUGACUGACGCUGAGGCGCGAAAGCGUGGGGAGCAAACGGGAUUAGAUACCCCGGUAGUCCACGCUGUAAACGAUGGGUGCUAGGUGUGGGGGGUAUCGACCCCUCCCGUGCCGAAGCUAACGCAUUAAGCACCCCGCCUGGGGAGUACGGCCGCAAGGUUG